CAACUGCUACCGCCUCUCAGCACUGCUCCGAUAAAGGAGGAGGUAUAGGUGAGUACAGUUUUGUUCAUUUGUGUGUGUUUUUUAAUGCGAAAAGGUAUUUGAACUACGCAAAUGUUCGCAAUAUUCUGGGUUUAAUCUUCAUUUAUAUUUUAAUUAUUCUGAUAUUAUCUGACUGUGUCUCUUCCUAUUCGCUAUCACUUCUUCUUCCUCUUUCCCCCCUGAGUGAACUGCCUCCGUUUUGACGCAUGGAAACGUUUUUAAGUGGCAAAGAAGAAUUGAAUGAAAGAUGAUGCAUGCCACUUAAAAUGCCUGAGGGAGCAAGCGUAAUCUAAAUUGGAUAUAGAAGCUAUUAUUACACAACAUUAUGCGUUGUGGCGGACUAAUUGCGUGGCUGGGUGCGUUAAACAGUCAGUUAAUGUCGAGUGGCAGACAGGUUUCUGGAGCGCACAAGGUCAGCUGUACUGCUCCCAAGCCUUUAGUGGUAUACAGAAAAAUGCUUGAAGUAUUCAUGGGAUUUUUAACCAUUCUAAAUCUGUGUCCUAAACCGAUUAGUUGACACCAAUUUUUCUUUGAUGUAUUAGCUGAGGGCUUUUGCCACUUGGAAGCCAAUUGAAAUUCAAAACAGUUUUCGCUCCAAAUGCUGUGGGGAGAUCUGCUGCAAAUAAUGGAUGUAAUUUAUUUUUGACCUUGCUUUUUUCUUUUUUCUUUUUUUUUUUUUUCAAAAGGGAGGGUUGUUAAAUGAUUAAACAUAUGUGCACUAGCUCUCGACUAAACAACUAGCAUUUGAUUGGCUAUUAUUAGUUUUGCAUUAUAGAGCUGUAAAUUUCCAUAUUUCUUAAAGUGUUAUAUAAGUGAUAAACAUGACUAAAAUUGUUAUUGCUUUUUUUAAUGCCCAAUUCACUCUUAAAAAGUUGCUGUUCUUGGUGUUAUUUUUCCUAAAUGAAUUAAAAAAAUAAUAAUUGACUCUUUGUUUUUGUUUUUGAAUCCCAGAUCCAUGUUGAUGAAGUCACCAAGCAGUCAGUGAAAUGCACCCUAACCUUCAAACACACAAGCACACUUGCAAAUACACCUUAAGUUAAAUAACCUUUUUCACAUUUUGAAACGAUAAUUAAAAAACACAGGUGGAUAUAUACUCAAAAAGUCAGUUCUGUGUUUAUACACAGAACUGACUGUAAUAAUUUAUCAGUUUUUUAACUCUCUUAUAGUUUUUAAAUAUGCUGCAUUGCUGCUAUUCCCGGGUUUUUUAUUCGAGAUAGAAUCCCUUAAUGUUUUACUUAGUAUCACCACUUUUCCUCACACAAACUGAUGCCCAUGAUUCGAUGGGUUGAUUUGACUUUAAUAAUCAUACAAUUUACAUGAAGCACAAUAAUAUGGCUUUCAGGGGAGAGAAUCUAUUUUUUGAUCUCCUUUCUGUUCUUGUGAUCUCUUUUUCUUUUAUUGACCUGAAUGAAGAUGUAUGGAGUGAGAGUGUGUGUGUGUCUUCGGUUUCCUCCUGAUGGGGUAUAUCAGCUCCCCCCACUUCUCCCUACUCCCCACGAUCCCCGCAAGGCUGAAUGGCAGGCCUCUGGAUUGGCUAAGUGAUGAAAUGAUGACCCUAUUAUGGGAAGCGAUUCCAAAAUGAGAGAUAUCAGACGAAGAUUACACCCCUCUCUCACUGCCACGCCAUCCUCCUGCAAUACACUGCCAGCUGCGCAGAUGAUGAUUGAUUCGCUUGAGAUGGAUCACAGGAAGCACCCAUUGAUUUUUCUGUGUUUUAUCAAAAAUAUUUAUUUACAGUUGUAUCCAUAGGGUGUAUCCAGACUCAACCCAUACUUCGUUCUCCAAAUGGGGGUUGGUAUAAAAGAGAUAAUUCCCCCUGUUCCAUGACAAGACGAAUGACCUGAAGUAUUACUUCAGAAAUGAGUCAAUAGGCUCAGUGAGUAAAUGAAUAUUGAUUGGAUAUAAUGAAGCCUGAGUGUGAAUAUGAGCCCUGUUGCAGACUUCACUGCAGUGAUGCUGAACCUCUCCAACUGAAUAUUUUGCAGACCUGCAUGCACAGCUGGGACUAAAUACACCUCAUUCAGAUGGUGAAUCAACACACUCAACAUUCAACUUUUCCUGUGUAUUUUGAUUCAUGAUCUGAGAGUGUCCAUACUUGACUCGCUUCUUAUCAGAUCUAUGGCUAAAUAGCAUGUUUAUGGUGAAGGUACUAUAGGUGCCAUAUGGCAAUAAUCCAAGACUCAUGUUACUUAAAAGCUCUGGAGACAUGUAGGAGGCAUUUCUGUGUCACCUUUACAAAGGUAAACUGAUACAACAUACAAAUCAAAUGACAACUAGAAUGCUAAAACCACAGUGUGGGAGCUGUGCCCUAGAUAUUUGCACUGACUUAAUCCAAUUGAAAUAGUAUGAGUGAGUUGCAGGGGCUCCCAGGUCUGUUGCUUGCUUAUGUAUGUGAUGCAUAAUAGAAGUUGACGAGGUUGGUGAUAGAUCACAGCCCAGGUAAUGUAAACACAUUAAUCCCUCAGGGUUCAUGUGCAUGUUCUUUCUCUCCUUUUCUCUUAUAUCAGUUCCUCUCUCUCUAUCUGUCUUUCUCUUUCUCUCUCUUCAAGCCCCCAUCCUCCCCCCUCCACGUUCAUCAUCUUCCCUAAACGCGUUAGUGGAGCACAAACCAGAAGCAGCCUUAAUCUGUCAACAUGCCCUUUAAUUGGAGGGAGAAAACAACACGUGCUUCUGGUUAUGCCAUUCCUAAGUGCACAUGCCAAAGAAACACAGAGUUCAUGGAAGAAGUGAUCCCGGGAGAGCAGGGCAUAAUUAAAAGUAUCUUUUAAUAGGCUUGUAAUGCUGAGCCAGACUCUUGUUGCUUUAAGUAGAGGGCGAACUCUGUGGCUGGAGACGGACAUGCAAGGGGCUUCUGCUGAGGGAGCCUGUAAACGAUACAUUGCCUCGUCGUCAUCAGACAUGCAGUCUCUGCCUCAGUCACCACACUCGAGAUGACAGCCACUUUCCACCCCUGCCGCGGACACCUUGGCUUACCCGUUGCCGUGUUCUUUUGUUCUCAGAAUGAGAGAUUCUCCUCCACGACAUCACCUCUCCUCAUCUCCUUCCCAGCCACUUUGGCAAGUUGUGUUCUACCUCCUACUCACAGCACCAGCGGGGAGUGAGAACUGGGACUAAGAGGUUGAUUUGGGGCCUGCUACACUGUAAUCAAAUGAGACUGCUUAGGGGAGAGGAGAAGGAGGAGGUGGAGUAUUAUGUUCUGUCAUGCAUUCCACUGCAGCAUUGUUGCUUUUUUGUUUUUGUCAGGGCAGGCUUUGAUGCUGUAUCCUCUUACCUUUGUAGUCCCGGUAGCCAUGUUUCAUAAACACGGAAUGGGAAACAUCCUCAGCAUUAGAAAUUUAGAUUGCUGCUUUCCUCCUGCCACUCUGCAUUCCGCACGUGCCCGGUCGCAUUCUCCAUCUCCCAAUGCUGAGGUAUUAAGUUUCCUCUCCCAUGCCUCUGAUACAUUUAAACAUCUUACAAUCAGUCCCUUUUAUUCGGUGUGUCAUGUAUAAUCUGCGGAAACAACAAUGCCAACAUGGCUCUAUGUUGCUCUCGCUCUCUUGGUACUUAAGAAGUCUGCUGUCACUGUUUUGUUUCAGGACAAUUGCACUUGCAAAAUGCUUACUUGCUUUAAAUUGAGAAGUUGCUAGGUAUUCAAUUUAGAACUUGUCUUCAUUAUUAAGAAUGUAAUAUUAAUGUCAAGCUAUCUUUCUUUGUAUUUUCACAAAGGGAAUAGGCAGUGCAUGGUUGUCUUUGUAGUUAACCGAAAGUCUCAGUGGGAUAACAGUGUAUUAUAAUCCUUAAUCUAUCUUAACUCAUUAAAAUGCAGUGUUCAGUUCUGCUGGCCAAAUUUUAUUGUCUCGUUGCAUUUUUAGUGAUAUGAGAGAAAUUUCAUGUGUAAUUGAAUAUUUAAAUGUCAGACACUGACGAGAAUCAUUGCAAAGUCCUGAAAUUACUGCCACAUAUAGGUAUAUAAUAUACUUAAGAAAAAAAGUUAGAUAAGAUGCAAAUCUAUAUUUGUCAGCAGAAUCGUCCUCUGUAACACACUGUGCCUCAGUUCUCUCUUUUCUUCUACCUCUUCUUCUUCUUGGAAAGUAACCAUUUUGUCCGACAUCUGACACACUGCCCUGGGUUAUUGAGCCAGACGUGGAAAUCCAAAGCGGAGAUGCUCUCCUUAAUGCCUGACACCUGGUGCAGAUUUGGAAGGGAUUGCACUACAGGGUAUGCUUUACAAGUGGACGCUACUCUGGAGUGUUGCAGCUCACCUUACCGCUUGCAGUCACAUCUGCAGACUGUGCUGGAGCAGAAUGGCUAGCGAACAUAAACACAGCAAGGACAUCAAAGGCCGGCAGUCUUAUUUAUUGAUAUUAGUAAUGCAGCUGUCAUUCUGCAAUGAGAUCUGUCCUGUGUCUGGGUGAAUGCUGAUAAGAUGACACAAUGCAAAUAUGAAGUGUGAUGGAGCCGCCUUGGCAAGCAGGCUGCGUCCAGUUCUGUCACUGGUCCUUAGUGCUCCAGCAGCCUGGUCAAAAAGACAUCCUGGCAGGGUCCCAGGGUGGAUGCAUCGCCCACGCACGCUGCUCUUGCCAGAUCCCAGAAGUCUUUGUGGUGAACCACUGACCGUGCUGCUCCCUAUUUUCUUCCAACCCAGCAAAUAAUGUGUCAGAAAAAGAUUAUUGAUAGCCCAUAAAAGAAGAGGCAGAAUGUUGUUGCCACUCUGCUCCAACUUUAAGGAACAAUACAAGUGCUAAACCAUCAGUUUCAAUGGUGCACUGCUCCUGAAAGAGCACAGCAUUUAUUUUUCACAUUGUUGUUCAGUUUGAAUAAAAGGUGCUACAACUGGAACAUGAACAGACAACAAUUACUUCUAUUUUUUUUAAAUGCUGCUUCAUUUUCCUUUACAUUUGAAACCUUGUAGUGAAGUUGGCAACUUUGUACUGUGUCUAUUCAAAAGAAAAAUGAGAUCCCUCAAAAGAAACAUUGAAAUUUUCUCCAUGCUCUGUUGAGUCAUUCGCAUUUUUUGCCAACUUUACCAGACACUGGCGAAGCUGUUGCUCAUCUGGCCUAAAUGUGGCCUGAGUGGGUGAUUCUCAGACAGAUGAGGG
ensembl:lncRNA